rnacentral:ncRNA from 2 species
ACCUUAUCAAGAGAGGUUUAGGGAACUGGCCCAUAGAGACCUCGGCAACCAUUGAAUUCAAAGGUGCUAACUCCAGCAGAUGAUUUUCUGAUAGAUGAGGG